UACGGAGGGUGCAAGCGUUAUCCGGAUUCACUGGGUUUAAAGGGUGCGUAGGCGGGUAGAUAAGUCCGUGGUGAAAUCCUGCAGCUUAACUGCAGAACUGCCGUGGAUACUAUUUAUCUUGAAUGUUGUUGAGGUGAGUGGAAUAUGUCAUGUAGCGGUGAAAUGCUUAGAGAUGACAUGGAACACCGAUUGCGAAGGCAGCUCGCUAAACAAAUAUUGACGCUGAGGCACGAAAGCGUGGGUAGCAAACAGG
rnacentral:rRNA from 1 species